AAAGGAAGCAUGGCAGUUAAAAGGGUCCCCAAUAAGGUCUUUCACAGAUCAAACUUGAACUAACAUUUAAUAAAAGUAUUAGCUGUUCAUGGUCGUGAAUAAUUUUCUGUUCAUACCAUAUAAAGAUUAGGAUAGAUUAACCCUUUUUGUCUUCAUAAUUUGUAGUUUUAAUUUCAAUUUGUUCCUAUGGCUUUAAACAUAAGUACAAACAAUAUGAACUAAUAUGAUAAUUUAAUCUUUAUGAUUAUGAACAUUCAAGGACGCCCUUCUAGAUGCUUAAAAUGACCUUUACGAAAAAAUCAUGUAGAUGCAGAGAAGUUAUAAGAUGAUGACUCUUAUUAAUCUAAGAUACUGUAAUAGCCCAAGCCCACCGCUAGUAAAUAUUGUCUUCUUAGAACACGUCUGCUAGGAAUAGCAGAUGUUUCCACUAUUUUAAAAAAUGUUUCAUUCUUUUCUCCAACCGAUGUGGGACCUCACAAAAAAAAAGGACAUCCGAUAAAAUUGGAACGAUACAGAGAAGAUUAGCAUGGCCCCUGCACAAGGAUGACAUGCACAAAUCGAGAAAUGGUCCAAAUUUUUAAAAAA